rnacentral:rRNA from 1 species
UACGUAGGGUGCAAGCGUUAAUCGGAAUUACUGGGCGUAAAGCGUGCGCAGGCGGUUCGCUAAGACAGAUGUGAAAUCCCCGGGCUUAACCUGGGAACUGCAUUUGUGACUGGCGGCUAGAGUAUGGCAGAGGGGGAGUGGAAUUCCGCGUGUAGCAGUGAAAUGCGUAGAUAUGCGGAGGAACACCGAUGGCGAAGGCAAUCCCCUGGACCUGUACUGACGCUCAUGCACGAAAGGCGUGGGGAGCAAACAGG